rnacentral:rRNA from 1 species
CGCGUAGGCGGACAUUUAAGUCAGGGUGAAAUCCCGGGCUCAACCCGGAACUGCCCUUGAUACUGGGUGUCUUGAGUUCGAGAGAGGUGAGUGGAAUUCCGAGUGUAGAGGUGAAAUUCGUAGAUAUUCGGAGGAACACCAGUGGCGAAGGCGGCUCACUGGCUCGAUACUGACGCUGAGGUGCGAAAGUGUGGGGAGCAAAACA